GAGGAAGAGGUGUAGUGUUUCCUGACUGAAGGUACCAUAUCCACUAUCGCGACGCGACGUACCCCGUAGUACAGCAAAAUUGUUGACGCCAACUCGUGCAGCCUUCCAUCGGCGCCGGCUCAUGCGAAUCUCGUCGGUGAGACCCCGCUCCCUCGUGUUCCGUUUCUUCCUUUCUUGUCUAUCUAACCUCCCCUGCUCUCCCUUUCUUUCUGCAGGAGCGGCAGCAAGCCAUGGGAGACUAUCUGAAUUCGAGUUCAUCUCGCCGCCACCGGGAAUCGGCUCCCCUCGGCCGGAUCCGCAUGAGCCCCGCUAUGACCACGCCCCUGCUGGAGCUCGAAGCCACAGUCCGGCCUGCCCGCUGCCUGACGUCCUCUUCGAUUUCCUUGCGAUGAGCACUUCCAGCCAUGGUCGGAAGGCUUCACUCGUUUCCUAGAUCCAUUUUGACGUUUAGUUUAUAUUAUGACGCCUCUACUUUUGGUCACCAACACAUUAUCUAUCGCAGUGGCUUUCAACACUAGUUUUUUGCCGGGCGACCAGGGAUAAAUCCCCGUGGCCGCAAUAUAUAUUUUUUCCAGCAAAUUUGCUUCUUCAAAGAAGCAGCUCCUUGUGUUAUUUGAGGUACCGCCAGAUGCUUAUUUAUAGCACAAAGGCACAACCAGCCUGACUAGUUAACCCAGUGCAUGGAUAUCAUGGUGAUUUGGGUUCGAGUCCAACACACCCUAGUUUUGGAGUGCAUUUUUUUCUUGUUGUUGUGACCUGCCGCUCGGGGCUGAAAACCUCCUGGGCCGCUGCAGUGUGCUGCAAUCCGGCCCGUAUUCUUUUCU
rnacentral:lncRNA from 1 species